rnacentral:rRNA from 1 species
GGGUUGUGAGGUUAAGCGACUAAGCGUACACGGUGGAUGCCCUGGCAGUCAGAGGCGAUGAAGGACGUGCUAAUCUGCGAAAAGCGUCGGUAAGGUGAUAUGAACCGUUAUAGCCGGCGAUGUCCGAAUGGGGAAACCCAGUGCAAUUCGUUGCACUAUCGUUAACUGAAUACAUAGGUUAACGAGGCGAACCGGGGG